AUUAAAUUAUUAUUUAAAUGGGUUAAUCCAUUUAACAACUCAACCCAUCAAAUUAAAUGAGUUAUGGGUUGACCUAACCCAUUUAACAAAAUGAGUUGGGUCAACCCAUAACUCAUUUAACCCUAAACUCAUUUGAUUAUGAGUUGAGUUGAGUUGGGUUACCCAUUUUAACACCCCUAAUUAACAUACACUAAUUGAUGAUAUAUAUUUU
rnacentral:sRNA from 1 species